AGGCCUGUUGCCUCUCAGAGGCUGCCUUGGGGGCUGGGGUUCAUUUGGCAAGGCCGGGGCCGUGGAGCGAUCUGCCUGGCAUCUAAAGGGUUCCUGGGUACCCUUUAUCUUGGUGCUUUUUCAGAAAAAAAUCAGGCCCGAUCUCGCAUGCAAGCUGAGAGAUAAAAAGCACCGUGGCACAUGGAAAUGAUCUUGUCUUUGCAGCAGGCAGACUCAUUCUGGGCUUUUGCCCGCUUUUCUGUUCAACGGGUUCUGUUACUGGGAAAUCUGUGGUUAGAAGCUUGUCGCCUUUUUCUGCUCUAGCAGUUUGACUUCCACUGAAUGUCUUUUGCAGAAUUAUUUGGUGGUGGUGUUGUUUUUUUAAGUAUGUGAGAGGUUGAAUUACUCGCAGUGGGUGGUAACAAGAGUGGAUGUUAUUUUAGUAGUUUUUCUAGGUAAAUUUAAUCCCUCAAAAAGCAGACCAUGUUCAAGAGCUAAUCCUGGCAUUUUUGCUUUCUUCUUUAUUCCACCCGGCAACCACCGUUAACAAGCUCACAGCGUUUAUUAAGUAAGAUGGGGGUGAUUUCCUGAAGCUUUGGAAACAGAUCUGGAAUAGGAGGGUUAUUGGAAAUCUGUCGGUGGCAGAAAUAUGAUCUGGCUCAGUUUGAGCAGACCUGAUAAUCGCCCUGAAAGAAGCCCAGGUGGGGCAGCUGCCCUGCGACUCCCAAAACGUAGUUGGAUUUGUUUCCCCCCCAAUAAGAGAAGCUUCUUAAGGGAGGAUGGGGAGAAGGGCUGGUAAGUGGAGGCUGCCUUGAUGACCACCCUAGAAGCAGUGGGGGUGGCUAUUGUAAUGCCGGUGGGCUUAAAGAGGCCCCUCCCUCACUUGAUGGGGGAGGGGAAGAA